CCAAGGAGUCUAGCGUGUGCGCGAGUCAUUGGGUGACCAAACCUAAAGGCGCAAUGAAAGUGUCAGGGCGUGCGCUCAGCGCGCGUCCGGCGGGAGGAUGGGCCAACCGGCCCCCAGGCCGGAGCCCCGCACUCCCGGGGCGUCACGUUCUCGUCUCGAGUCGAGACGCACCAGGAGCGCACACGCUGUUACCCGAAAGAUGGUGAGCUAUGCUUGGCCAGGACGAAGCCAGGGGAAACCCUGGUGGAGGUCCGAAGCGAUUCUGACGUGCAAAUCGAUCGUCUGAGCUGAGUAUAGGGGCGAAAGACCAAUCGAACCCUCUAGUAGCUGGUUCCCUCUGAAGUUUCCCUCAGGAUAGCUGGCUCUCGGGAAGAGACGAGUCUCAUCCGGUAGAGCGAAUGAUUAGAGGUGAUGGGGUCGAAACGACUUCAACCUAUUCUCAAACUCCCAAUAGAUGAGAGCCCCGGCUUGCUUGAAAGUGAAGCCGCGGGACUUCGGAUCGGAGAGGCCAAGUGGGCCAAUUUU
rnacentral:rRNA from 1 species